CCACCACUUUGGCUCAUUGCAUUAUUUGGUACCACAAUCAUCGCAGGAUCUCUUGUACUUGUAAUCUUUGUUAAAAAGAAGCUUCACAGGCAGCAAGUGGAGUCACAUCCAGCUGUGUACAACGUGACUGAGGAGCCAAUAGAACCCUACGGCACUUUUAUCCAGACCAAGAGUGGGCUUUAUUCAACUGUCAACUUAAAUAAUGGCUAAAUGAUAAAGAUGCUUGGGGGAGUGAUUUCCAAAUGCAUCUCACCUGUUUGGCCACAGGG